AUAUAGUCAAGAAUCUGAGAUAUUUUAAAACGUUAACGGCGUUUUGGUUCUCCGUUAUCUUUCUUAGAAGCCGUUAAAGUGGAACUGUUAGGUUUAGGUUUAAUAGUUAUCGUUUCAUUUUCAUCUAGUCUUGCCGCUUUCUUCGCAAUUUUGAAGGUACAUGGACGAAGACGGAGAGAAACAUGUUCUUACCAAACGAUCAUCUUCUCCUGAGUUAUCCGACAAAAGAUCUGGUGAUGAAGGUGAUUGGGUACGAAGAGAUUUGCGAGAAUCGUUGUUCUUUCAAGUUCUCCUGAAUCUCUCGACAAAAGAAAUGGUUAAGACUAGCGUCGUAUCCCCGAAUGGAGACAUCUAUGGAAGUAUGU
rnacentral:sRNA from 1 species